GGACUACCGGGGUAUCUAAUCCUGUUUGAUCCCCACGCUUUCGGGUCUGAGUGUCAGUGUGUAGCCAGAUAGCCGCCUUCGCCUCCGGUAUUCCUCCUGAUAUCUACGUAUUUCACCACUACACCAGGAAUUCUACUAUCCUCUCUACCACUCAAGCUACGCAGUAUCAAAUGCACUUCUAGGGUUGAGCCCUAGGCUUUCACACCUGACUUACAUAGCCACCUGCACCCGCUUUACGCCCAAUAAUUCCGAACAACGCUAGGAUCCCUCGUCUUACCGCGGCUGCUGGCAC
rnacentral:rRNA from 1 species